CACCCCUAUAGAUUUAUUUUUUCACUUAAUAUUGUCUCUUAAACAUAGUCCAUUUAAAAAAUAAUCUUAAUGGCUACAUGCUAGCCCAUGGGGUUGAUGAGGCAUAAUUUACUUGUAUCAUUGGAUAUGUCAGGGAUUCUAAGUUUUCACUAUUGUAGGUAAUUAACACUACAGUAAACAUCUUCAUGCACAGUUUUCUUUCUUUGCUUAUCUUUCUGUUAUUUAUUUUUAACUUAAUUGCAUUGUAAUCAGAGAACAUAAUUUGUGUGAUACUGAUUCUGGGAAAUUCGUUGAGACUGGCUCUCUAGUCAAGUGUAUGUUCAGCUUGGAUAAAUGUUUUCUGCACUGUUAAGGAAGAAAAUGCCCAGGAUAGAGAAAGAAAAAUGGGCAUUCUCUGUCACUGGUACAAGAGUCUGCACUUGUCCCUUUUUCAGCAUUGCUCAGUGGCCUUAUCACAGCCAAUGAGGUUUAUCCAAGGUGCAGUUAUUACUAAUUGAAAACUUUUCCCUAUACGUGCCCUUUUAUGAUCAAGCUUGUUAAUUGUAUUAUUUCUAUUUUCUAUGUGCUGCUAAUUUGGGGGCUGUGUGACAUCAGUUACUGAGAAGGGUAUAUGUUAAAUUCUAUGGUGGUGGACUUGUCAGUUUUUCCUCAGCAUUCUGUCACUUUUUGCUCUUUGUUAUUUGAAGAUAUCAUUAGGGACAUAUAAUUUCAGAAUUAGCAUCUCCUCCUGGUGAAUUGAAUCUGUUACCUUUAUGUAGUUACCAUCCUUGUUUCUAAUAAUGCAUUUUGCCUUGAAGACUAUUUUGUCCAAUGUGAACAGAGCUCCUCUAGCUUUCUUCUGGGUAGGGUCUGCCUGGCAUAUGCUUUUGCAUCUUUAUUUUCAACCUUUUUAUGUGUCAGAGGCUGGCUAGGUGCUCACUAAUUCCAUUUCCUCUUCCUAGGAGCACAGGACUACACUUCCCAGCUCUUUUUGCAAUUCAGUUGGGGCCACCCAAGGAAUACGGGCAGAAGUGAUGUAUGGCACUUCUAGGCUUGGCAACAAUUUCAUACAUGAUUUUCUGUGUGCUCUCUCCCCUGUUUACAUGUCUAGAGGCAAAGAACUCCAAGGUGAUAGAACUAGGAUUGAAGGACCCCAGAUUCCAAUAUCACUGAUUGAAAGAGUGACAGCCAGAGGAGCAACCUGACCUGAUGGGCUCUUAUAUUUUCUCUAGGAUACAGCAAGUAUCUGGACUGUUUUGCUUUGUUUUGCUCCAAUUUGAAGACAUCUUUGUUUUAACUGCCCAUGUCGCAUCCUUCUAAACCUGGGAAAGUGUGAUUUCGUAAAUUGUCAGUAUAGACAGACAUUCUAAGAACCACAGAGAGAAGAGUGGAUGGAUCAAGAGACAAAUGCAAAACCUGGAAAAGGAAUCAAUAUUGGAACCAACAGACGGAGUUUCUCUAAACAUCUAGUCCAGCAUAUUGUUGGAAACACAAGUCCUGGUGUUAAAAUACAGUGGGACCUCAGUGUUUGAACGUGAUCUGUUCCUGAAGCCCAUUCGAGUUCGGAAACGUUAGAAAACCGAGGGAUCCACAGCCGACAGCUGGGCCUCAGGAUCUUGCCCUCCGUGGAAGCCGUGGGGCACGUUCGA